GUCUACAAAGAAUUUUUCCAAAUGAGAAGAAAUAAGUAUGGAAGAGAAGACUUGGUGAGCACCAAGUGGAAACCUGGCACAAUCCAACAUUAAUUUCAAGAAGAUGGUUCCAGCUGUGGUGUCUUUGUGAUGCUGAUGGCAAAACAGGUGGUGAAAGAGUUCCCACAAAUUCCUGACAGCAUUAAUAUAAGGAUAUGAUGUGCCACUAUAGGUAUCUUAGUCAACACGUGAGAUCACGCGAUGAUCAUAGUGACAUCACAGCAUUCUCAUACGGUGAUCCUCACAGUGUGAGUAAUAUGUGAGAUCAUUGUGAAUUCAAAAUGUUGAGCAGGUUGAGAGGAGGCAGUUCAAAUAUUGGUCACCGGGGGGACAUUCUACUUCCUGUUCCUCAACACUAUCACAAAGAUCCUGUUUCUCAACACUAUGACGAGCUCAUGAGUGCAUGCCCAGCUAACAUAUUUCUGUUAUAAGAUACAACUGGAACAUACGUUACCAUCAUGAUUCAAUGUGAAUUAUUCCAGAGGUGGUUUCAUGUUCAGUGCCUCAACAUUAAUCUGCCACCAGAAGAACAACCAUGGAUUUAUGAUUUGUGUUUUGUAAGCUAUUUAUAUAGAGGAGCUUAUGCUGAAAGUGUGUUUAAAUUGUAAAAAAAUAUGUACUGCCUAUUUGAUAUGUUAUGGAAAUACUUCUGUAUUGCCUAUUUGAUAUUUUAUGGAAAUACAAUUUUUUUUUUUUUUUUUUUUGUAUUCUGUUUAUGUUUCAUAUUGUUGUGGUGCUUUCUGCUGGCCUUUUAUGUGAAUGCAGUUUUUAAAAACACACUUGCAUAUGUGAGGGAGAAAUAAAUAGUUACGGGUGCAGAGGCACCUAUAGUAAUCGUUAGCGUUCUAUUUUCCUUCCGCUCGAAGUCUGUGGCAGCCCAUAGAACCGCUUGCGGGAAAGUUGUGAAAUUUGGCACACUGAUAGAGGACAGUCCCAACAUUAACCAUAGCAAAUUUGGAGUAUCUAACUCAAACUCUCUAGCGCCACCACUUGUUCAAAGUUGCACUCAUGUUUAUGCUAAUAACUUUUGAAC